rnacentral:tRNA from 1 species
GGGAGUAUAGCUCAGCUGGUUAGAGCACACCCCUGAUAAGGGUGAGGUCGAUGGUUCGAAUCCAUUUACUCCCACCA